GACGAACGCUGGCGGCGUGCUUAACACAUGCAAGUCGAACGGAAAGGCCCUGCCUUUGUGGGGUGCUCGAGUGGCGAACGGGUGAGUAACACGUGAGUAACCUGCCCUUGACUUUGGGAUAACUUCAGGAAACUGGGGCUAAUACCGGAUAGGAGCUCCUGCUGCAUGGUGGGGGUUGGAAAGUUUCGGCGGUUGGGGAUGGACUCGCGGCUUAUCAGCUUGUUGGUGUGGUAGUGGCUUACCAAGGCUUUGACGGGUAGCCGGCCUGAGAGGGUGACCGGCCACAGUGGGACUGAGGUACGGCCCAGACUCCUACGGGAGGCAGGGGUGGGGAAUAUUGCACAAUGGGCGGAAGCCUGAUGCAGCAACGCCGCGUGCGGGAUGACGGCCUUCGGGUUGUAAACCGCUUUCGCCUGUGACGAAGCGUGAGUGACGGUAAUGGGUAAAGAAGCACCGGCUAACUACGUG
rnacentral:rRNA from 1 species